rnacentral:misc_RNA from 1 species
GAUAGCUAUCAACGAACAUUGACGGUUCUCUCCAGAAUAAAAAGCGCUAUCAGUGGUGGAAGUUUGACAUCCACCAAUGACCUCAUGGUUACGCUGGUAUGUGGUUCUGAUCUGCUAGAAUCUUUCAGCACACCUGGUGUUUGGAUACCUGAGCAGGUCAGGGCCAUAUGUAGAGACUUCGGCUUGGUUUGUAUCCGAAGAAGUGG